AAUGUUGGAGGAGAUGACCGGCGGCCCGCAAUGCGCUGCGCAGGGAGCCUGGGCGGUGCCGCACACACUCGCCCGCUAGCUGCAGGGCUUCAGGAAACAGGAGCACAUUGGGAAUAGGAUUCUUCCCACAGAAGGGCGGGUUACAUCCCCGUCAGAGGGUUGCCGCAAGGGCAGAUAAAAUCAGACAUGGGGAUCCUUGCACUCUGGUGGGAACCCAGAAGGAGGUCAGGGAGGGAAGGUCUCCCUUCCUCUUCUUGCGGGUGGUUGGUCUCUGCCUAGAUCUGCAGAGGGCAGAGAGCAGCGAUGUCUACCACAGCUUCACGCCCAGGAAACGCACUGUAUCUGCACCGUCCAGUAGGGAUGGCAUCAGGCACGUGGGGUCACUGAGCCCUGGAGGUGCAGACGGUGCAGCGGGUUUCUCAUGCCAUUCAACUUCGGAUAAAUUUAAAUAUCAAUAGCUAUGUGUGACUCUCAUACUGGACAGUAGAUGUAGAAAGUUUCCAUCAUCACAGAAGACUCUGCUGGUCGGUGCUGGUCUAGAGGGAGCAGCCAGGGUCCUGGGGAGUGAAGGGAGAUCCCCACAGUGGACUUGGGAGGACUCAGAGCCUUCUCUGUCCAGCUCAGGACUCUAACUCCUCCUCCUUCUGAAUCUUCCCUCCCAGGACCCAUGCAGAGGCCGUCGGACAACAGUCACAAUGAGCAUGCACCUGCUUCUCAAGGCCUGAGUGCUGAGCAUCUUUAUAUUCUCAUCGGGGUCUCAGUGGUCUUCCUCUUCUGUCUCCUCCUGGUCCUCUUCUUCCUCCGUCGCCAGAAUCAGAUAAAGCAGGGGCCCCCCAGAAGCAAGGACAAGGAGCAGAAGCCACAGCAGAGGUGAGGCCCCUGGGAAUGACUCCUGGACCUCCACCUGGUCCUCGGCCACCAGGCUGCCCCUGAGGUUCAC
rnacentral:sRNA from 1 species